rnacentral:lncRNA from 1 species
CGCUUAUGUCCGGAAAUUUCAUUGAUAUUUUGCUUUGUCGUAAAUUAACUGAUAAAAAAUGGUUAAAAGUUCAAAACAACAUUGUUCUUACAUCGUCCAUCAUUGGUGUAUAUGUUAGAAAUUACUUGGUCAUGGUUUAUGAAGAUUUAAAGCCCAAAACAGAAUUCCAUAACGGUAAACCAACUCGUGAUGGCGUUUGUAAAAUUUACGAAGGGAUGGUUUCAACUUUACGACUUGUAAAUCUUGGUUAAAUAGGUCACCUGCAUUGUGAGCAGCAACUCUCUAUCAAGUAAAUCAUAAUAGAAAAUACAAAUCCUGAAAUAUUGUAUGAAUGGGGAGAUAUUUACUCCGUAUGCAGGUGCUACUGGAAAAUUGCCCUAUGUUUAAACAAAACAACGAAUUUUGGAAACUUAAACAAAAGAUACAAAACUGUUCCGUCGCCUAGUUAAAAAAAAACCAAUCAGCAAGAACUGACGUCACGCAGUUUUUGGGAAAAUGUACCGGAAGGCUUUAAACAACACUUCACCAGUCUAGCAUUUCAAGAUCUAACUAUGUUUGUAGAGAACUACCAACAUCCCUUGAAUUUAUAAUCAAAUGAAAAAUACCACCGGCUACAAUAGAUACGCUACAUACGGCUAGCCAAUUACUAUGUAAAGGAAAUUUCAGAACGGGAAAAGAAUUAGAUCAUCACCCUUCAAUUUUGGAAUGCUAAUCUCAUACGACAUAUUCGAGAAACAGACGUCGAUAAGAGACCAUAUUUACCAACGUUUCAG